UGGAAUGGCUUCUCACACUUAUUCACAGAACAGGUUACUGCACAAGUAGCAGUAGUGCAAGCUUCCCUACGCUGUGUCUAUUCAGACCAGGAGACCCCUCCUCUCGGAUUGAAAAAGUAUUUAGAAGCCAUCUGAAGAAGCUACC
rnacentral:sRNA from 1 species